GACGAACGCUGGCGGCGUGCUUAACACAUGCAAGUCGAACGGAAAGGCCCUGCUUUUGUGGGGUGCUCGAGUGGCGAACGGGUGAGUAACACGUGAGUAUCCUGCCCUUGACUUUGGGAUAACUUCAGGAAACUGGGGCUAAUACCGGAUAGGAGCUCCUGCUGCAUGGUGGGGGUUGGAAAGUUUCGGCGGUUGGGGAUGGACUCGCGGCUUAUCAGCUUGUUGGUGGGGUAGUGGCUUACCAAGGCUUUGACGGAUAGCCGGCCUGCGAGGGUGACCGGCCACAUUGGGACUGCGAUACGGCGCAGACUCCUACGGGAGGCAGCAGGGGGGAAUAUUGCACAGUGGGCGGAAGCCUGAUGCAGCAACGCCGCGUGCGGGAUGACGGCCUUCGGGGUGUAAACCGCUGUCGCCUGUGACGAAGCGUGAGUGACGGUAAUGGGUAAAGAAGCACCGGCUAACUACGUG
rnacentral:rRNA from 1 species